AUGCCUCUCGAUGAGGUAUUCCUGCUGCUGGUUUCCUCUUUCAAAUUCUCUUUCAGUCUUUUAAUUCCUUUGCUGUUUCUUUGGCAGAUGAACACUCCUAUAUCUGCAUUCAAAGGAAAAGGACAGGCUAUUGUGCCUAAAACUCCUAGCAAAUCACCGUGCCCAAAAAGUACUCGCCGCAAACUCUGUCUUGGACCCUCUAAAUCUAAGGACACUGAACUUUCUACCUCUACUACCAAGGUGGCUAGCCAAACUGAAGAGGUUGCCGCUGCCGGAAAUGUUGUUCAGCCUGCACCCAUGCCAGAUGUUGGACAGGAAACUAAAGGUGCAGUUGCUGAGGAUCCAAAGAACACCCUUCCUGACCCCUCUAAGCCCAAGAGAACAACCAAUACCGGCAAGGGGGCUGACAUACCUAAGAAAGCGAAGCAGUAG
rnacentral:rRNA from 1 species